UGUGUAGGCGGUUGUUUAAGUUUGGUGUGAAAUCUCCCGGCUCAACCGGGAGGGUGCGCCGAAUACUGAGCGACUAGAGUGCGGGAGAGGAGAGUGGAAUUCCUGGUGUAGCGGUGAAAUGCGUAGAUAUCAGGAGGAACACCGGUGGUGCAGACGGCUCUCUGGACCGCAACUGACGCUGAGACACGAAAGCGUGGGUAGCAAACAGGAUUAGAUACCCUGGUAGUCCACGCCCUAAACGAUGCAUAUUUGGUGUGGGUCAUUCAGUUGAUCCGUGCCGGAGCUAACGCGUUAAAUAUGCCGCCUGGGGAGUACAGUCGCAAGGCUGAA
rnacentral:rRNA from 1 species